GCCUCCAUAGCUCAGUGGCAGAGCGUCUGUCUUGUAAACAGAAGGUCUGUGGUUCGAUC
rnacentral:tRNA from 1 species